rnacentral:rRNA from 1 species
CAGUCGCCGCGGUAAUACGAAGGGGGCUAGCGUUACUCGGAAUUACUGGGCGUAAAGGGCGCGUAGGCGGCGCUCCAAGUUAGGCGUGAAAGUCCUGGGCUCAACCUGGGAACUGCGCUUAAGACUGCAUCGCUUGAACGUCGGAGAGGUGAGUGGAAUUCCGAGUGUAGAGGUGAAAUUCGUAGAUAUUCGGAAGAACACCAGUGGCGAAGGCGGCUCACUGGACGACUGUUGACGCUGAGGUACGAAAGCGUGGGGAGCAAACAGGAUUAGAUACCCGAGUAGUCCCUGUCUCUUAUCC